rnacentral:rRNA from 1 species
AUUGAACGCUGGCGGCAGGCUUAACACAUGCAAGUCGAGCGGAGCGAGGGUGCUUGCACCUUAGCUUAGCGGCGGACGGGUGAGUAAUGCUUAGGAAUCUGCCUAUUAGUGGGGGACAACAUUCCGAAAGGGAUGCUAAUACCGCAUACGCCCUACGGGGGAAAGCAGGGGAUCUUCGGACUUUGCGCUAAUAGAUGAGCCUAAGUCGGAUUAGCUAGUUGGUGGGGUAAAGGCCUACCAAGGCGACGAUCUGUAGCGGGUCGGAGAGGAUGAUCCGCCACACUGGGACUGAGACACGGCCCAGACUCCUACGGGAGGCAGCAGUGGGGAAUAUUGGACAAUGGGCGGAAGCCUGAUCCAGCCAUGCCGCGUGUGUGAAGAAGGCCUUUUGGUUGUAAAGCACUUUAAGCGAGGAGGAGGCUCUUAAGGUUAAUACCCUUGAUGAGUGGACGUUACUCGCAGAAUAAGCACCGGCUAACUCUUUGCCAGCAGCCGCAGUAAGAC